UUCAAAUCCCAGGUCCCAGCCUGGGCCCCCAACCUCUGCUGCUCCCUCACGUGACUGCCCUUAGCAGGUCCGGCUCCUCGGCCCCUUCCCAGGCCAACCCCGCUCUGAGCCCUGGGGCCGGGGUGCCCGGUGAUGGGGCCAGCAGUCGGCUGCAGCCUGGGACUCCUGAGCUGGAGCCCUGGGCUGAGCCGGCUGUUGGGGACGGCAGAGGGAGGCCCAGCUCUGCCGAUCACCAGCUCAGGGGCUUGGGAGGAGACUCUUAAAAGUUAAGGCCAUGCGUCCACUUCAAUCGUCAGUGUCAUGAGACAAAACAGGCAUCAUCAGGUUCAACUGUGUUCUGGCGCUGGCCUGAGCCCGGGGCCUCGAGUCCAGCUGAUCCAGGCUUUAUCUAUAUUUGGUACAUGAUGUCAACCCAGAACAUCUUAUUCCUUCACGUUUAAUAAACCAGCUUAAGACAUCA